AUUGAACGCUGGCGGCAGGCCUAACACAUGCAAGUCGAGCGGAUGAAGGGAGCUUGCUCCUGGAUUCAGCGGCGGACGGGUGAGUAAUGCCUAGGAAUCUGCCUGGUAGUGGGGGAUAACGUCCGGAAACGGGCGCUAAUACCGCAUACGUCCUGAGGGAGAAAGUGGGGGAUCUUCGGACCUCACGCUAUCAGAUGAGCCUAGGUCGGAUUAGCUAGUUGGUGGGGUAAAGGCCUACCAAGGCGACGAUCCGUAACUGGUCGGAGAGGAUGAUCAGUCACACGGGAACCGAGACACGGUCCAGACUCCUACGGGAGGCAGCAGUGGGGAAUAUUGGACAAUGGGCGAAAGCCUGAUCCAGCCAUGCCGCGUGUGUGAAGAAGGUCUUCGGAUUGUAAAGCACUUUAAGUUGGGAGGAAGGGCAGUAAGUUAAUACCUUGCUGUUUUGACGUUACCAACAGAAUAAGCACCGGCUAACUUCGUG
rnacentral:rRNA from 1 species